rnacentral:rRNA from 1 species
AACGAACGCUGGCGGCGUGCUUAACACAUGCAAGUCGAGCAAGAAAGGGGAGCAAUCCCUGAGUACAGCGGCAAACGGGUGAGUAACACGUGGGCAACCUACCUCGAGUGGGAAUAACAUCUCGAAAGAGGUGCUAAUACCGCAUGACAUCGCGGAGGCUUCGGCCACUGCGAUCAAAGGUCGGAUCUUCGGACCGACCGCUUGAGGAUGGACCCGCGGCUGANAGCUAGUUGGUGGGUAACGGCCUACCAAGGCGACGAUCAGUAGCCGGCCUGAGAGGGUGAACGGCCACACUGGAACUGAGACACGGUCCAGACUCCUACGGAGGCAGCAGUGAGGAAUUUUGGACAAUGGGCGCAAGCCUGAUCCAGCAACGCCGCGUGGACGA